AAUAAAUUUUUUAUGAUUUGAAAAAUUUAAUUUAAAUUUAUUUUACAUAUAAAUUUUAGUAUGAAUUUUUAAUUAUUUUAAUAAUUUUUAAGAAUUAUUUAUAGUAAUUAACAUUAAAAAUUUAAGAAAUUAAGAUUUAGUAAUAUUUAAAAUUAUUAACAAAUUUUGUGCCAGCAGUUGCGGUUAAACAAAAGAUAAUUUAAAUUUUAUUGGUAAAUAAUUAAUAUUAAUUUUUAUUAAAUUAAAUAGUAAAUUAUUAGGUGAAAUUUUAAUUUAUUGAAAAUUUUAUUUAAUAAUAUGAUUUGUUAAAUUUUAAAAAAAAACUAGAAUUAGAUACUCUAUUAUUAAAAAUUAAAUGAUAAUGCUAAAAUAGUAUAUAAUUAUUUAUUGAAACUUAAAUAAUUUGGCGGUAUUUUAGUUCAUUUAGAGGAAUCUGUUUAAUAAUUGAUAUUCCACGAAUAAAUUUACUUAAUUUAAAUAAUAUUUAUAUUUUGUAUAUCGUUGUUAAAAAAAUAUUUUUUUAUAAAAAUAAUAUUUAAAAAUUUUAAAAUAAAAUUAAUUCAGAUCAAGAUGCAGAUUAUAAUUAAGAAUAUAAUGGAUUACAAUAAGAAAUGAUUAAAUGAAUAAUAUUUUUUAAAAAAUAUUUGAAGGUGGAUUUAAAUGUAAUUUUAUUUAAUUUAUUAAAAUGAUUAAAAAUUGGAAUAUGUACAUAUUGCCCGUCGCUUUCAUUAAUAAAUUGGAAUAAGUCGUAACAAAGUAGAAGUACUGGAAAGUGUUUCUAGAAAGAU
rnacentral:ncRNA from 1 species